GCAGGAUAUCAUGCAUGACACUAAACUGUGUGUUGGAUUCACUCCUCCCAUUCCGCUAGGGGGCUCUGUAGUUGUUUUGCAUUGGUAGUGGAGGGGAGGUGAAACAAGAGAAGAAACUUACGGCCGGCCAGUAAUACACCGAGACUGCCGGUAGCUGAAGCUACAAUAAAAUCAUAUUCUACUGGCGUUCAUGAGUGUUGCCCAACGUGGUGAGUUAUUAAUGCUGUAAGCUGUGGGGAGAUGAGUUUUUUGUUAUCUGUUCUAAGCGUGAGCUUGCUGAAUUUGCUAGUGCUAAUUAGC